UACGGGGGGGGCAAGCGUUGUUCGGAAUUACUGGGCGUAAAGGGCUCGUAGGCUGCCAACUAAGUCAGACGUGAAAUCCCUCGGCUUAACCGGGGAACUGCGUCUGAUACUGGAUGGCUUGAGAUUGGGAGAGGGAUGCGGAAUUCCAGGUGUAGCGGUGAAAUGCGUAGAUAUCUGGAGGAACACCGGUGGCGAAGGCGGCAUCCUGGACCAAUUCUGACGCUGAGGAGCGAAAGCCAGGGGAGCAAACGGG
rnacentral:rRNA from 1 species